GGCAUGAAUACUUUGUUUACUGACUCCUAACAACACAGAAAUUAUAGUCCUACACAUCCUAGUUGUUUCUCUCGUGUAUGGCUUGACAGUACUGUUGACAAUUAUCACAAAAUUAAAAAAGAAAGACCUCGCUACCAAGACGUCGGUAACAAACGGCUGACCCUUUGCAUCGCUCUCUCUACUCGGCUGGAAAUGGAUGAUUGUAUUUUUUUAUGUCGUUUUCGUGUUUUUAUUUCAACCCUUUUAUGAAUUUUUGAUCAAACAAAAAUAUCAAAAAGGUGGUGGUGGUGGUGGCAUGGGGCAGUGGGGGGUGGUGUGGGGGGCGGGGGGCGGCGAUGAAGAGGCGUCUAGUACACCACCUCACUCAUCUUAUUUAUUCAUGUUAUUCAUACAAAACAUUGACGGGCAGACCACUCGAACCACUCACCUGCUGGCUGCUCGGUGGCUGGCUGACCAGGCUGGCGUGCGAGGGUCCCCAGCUCUCCUAAAAAAGUAUGUACAAUAUGUAUGUAUGAAUGUAUGUACGUCUGUGGGCUCCUCCGCACACACGACUGACUCAGCGCUAUGAGACACAUAUGAUACAAUGUCUUAGGUGUGUGGAUGAGGAGGGGGGGGGGAAGGGCUGGAAGAGGAAGGGAGGGAGAGGGGCAAGAUAGGGUCAGUUCUUACCCUACUCUUGCCCUCCUUACCCAUACCCCCUCCCGUGACCUGCCCUGACCCCACACAAGACGGGAAGGUAAGUUCGUAUCACCAGAGGCGGCUCUCAAAGUCGACAAAAAGGAGCGACGGAUCAGAGGUGGAAAAAUGCAACGGCGGCGGCGGCAGCAACGGCGAAGCUGGCGGCUGUUUAUCCCCCUUACAGAAAAUACAAAGUUGAUGGUCAAGCGGCCAGGACCCACAAAACUGGCCCUGCGGCAACCCAGAGGCAAGGGAACAGUGCCUAGGUGACCCCCUGGUGCCAAAUGAGGGGAUGAGGAGGUUUAGGGGGGAGUAGGGGGUCACUGUGGCACCUCAGAGGCAGGGGAAACAGUGCCUAGAUGAACCCCCCCGUGCCAGAAUAGGGGGGUGAGGGGGUGGCUAGGGGGGAAGGGGAAGCCUCUGAGUGGGGAACGGACAGGUGAAGAAACAUACUGGUGGCAGCAGCAGCGGCAGCGGACUCAAAAAAUCGACCAAUAUGUACAUUUUGUGACGAGUCCUCUCUGUACACCAGCAAAAACCUACACGUGUGCGCGCUCGCCGCCUCCACGCACACGCUGUGACUGCAUGGCUGACCUCCGCCUGGGUGUUCUCGGUUAGCUUGAGGAGGGGAAGGGAGAGGAGGGGGGAAGGAGGGGGGUCAGGUCAGGCUGGGUCAUCUUAGGUCAUUGGCACUGUGAAGGUUGUUGUUGUUGGCACUCCACUCUACUCUAGUGCUGUGUGUAUAUAUGUAUGUACGUAUGUAUAAAUGUAUGUGUGUGUAUGUAUAUAUCACUCAAUUAAUCAAUCACUGUGUGGGGGGGUAUGUAUAAAUGUAUGUGUAUGUAUUUGUAAAUGUGCAUUGUAUCAUCAGUGUACAUUAUUUUACAUGUGUUUGUGUGUAUGUGUGUGUGUGUGUGUAUUUACCUAGUUGUAGUUUUACAGGGCCUGGGCUAACGCUCGUGUGGUCCCAUCUCCGUAUCUGUAUUUGUCCAACUUUUCCUUGUGUGUGUGUGUGUGUGUGUGUGUGUGUGUGUGUGUGCACAGGACACGCAACCUCCUCCUCCUUCACUUCUUUACACAACACUUCGGUGGGCGGGUCGGGCGGAAGCUUGCAUCCCACAUGGCUACAUAAACAGUGCUCGAAAAUUAGUCUAGGCUACAAACAUGGACCUCACCCCACCCAACACCGCACACCUGCCUCACCUGGGCUCACUAACAUCCGACAAUUAACCCCCCCCGAGACACCUAAUACAAACCUGACUCUUAUUACCCUCACACCUGCCUAAUCUGAGCUUGUUAAACCUGAUAAAUGACCUUCAUAAGACACCUGGCACACCUGACACCACCCUCACACCUGCCUGCUCAUUAACCUGGCAUUUACCUUCAUACCUUUUCUAUCACACCUGAAUGAUCAAAUCCACACCUGACCUUCAUAACUUUCCAAAAUACACAUGACUUACCACCUGGAUUUCUUUGACACCUGCCCAACCUGAGCUCAUUAACACCUGACAAUCUUCAUACUUUUUCUAUACAACUGACACACACACACACACACGCACACACACACGACUCUUACUACACCUACAUACUUGCUCUUUAUAAACACCGGACUAACUAACACCUGACAACUUCCCUAAACACACCUCUGACCCUCACAAAACACACCUGUCUGCUUACACCUUGCCUCGUUAACACCUGAUUCGUUACACCAUUACCACACCUGACCUUCGUUUAUACCUGGAGAAGCCUAACGAGUAUACAUCACACCUGAGGAACCUGCACUUUACCUAUACCUGUUCUUCAUAUGAUUUUAAUACCUGGUGUGAGGAGAGGAUAAUAUCUAUGGAUUUAAGAAGCCACGGAUAUCUUGAGGUGAUAGCAAGUGAAUUCAAGGCUCUUCCUAUCCUCUCUUCCUUCCUAUUUGGCCUUUCUCUUUCUCCUAAUCCUUCUUCUUUUCCCUCGUUCGCUUUCUUCCUUAUACAAUAGCAGCAAGCAUGGGUAUUCCUGGCUCUUCCUAUCCUCUCUUCCUUCCUAUCAGCCUUUCUCUUUCUCCUAAUCCUUCUUCCUUUUCCUCAUUCCCUUUCUUCCUCAUACAACAGCAGCAAGCAUGUCUAUUCCUUUCUAUUGUCCUUCCCCUCCCUUUCCUUCUUUCUUACACUCCUAAAAAAUCUUCCCAGCAACAAAAUUUAGACCAGCCAGCAAGUAUUUAUCCCCCUACUCCCUCUCCCUCCCUUGAUCCUUCUUCCUCUCCCUCUCUCUCUCCCCGUCUCUCAUACACACAUCUGAAUCACCACCACAUAACCAGGAGCGGAAAGCAAGCAUCAGACACAGGGAAACAACAACUCUGGAAAACUAACGGUUAUCUACGCCGGCAAAACUCUAGUAGUCGUAGUAAUAGGAGUGAUUUGUUUUUACAUCUAGAAUGGGCGAUGCAAGUCUCCCGCCGAGCCGCCCACCAGCGAGACGCACCCAUCGACUGCUUGUGGCUCUGAGGGUGAUGAUGGGCCUUGAAUAUGGUGAGGUUAAUGGUGAGGGUAGCAGAGGAAGUGGCUACAGUGUGUCGACCAGGAUUGUGAGGUACCAGGGGGAGGUAACUUUCAAUGUCGGAUAUUUCUGCACCUACGAUUCUAACUUUCGCCCCUGCAAGAACGAGUGAGAGAGAAAGGGAGUUAAUAGGGUAAUGAAAUGUGCCGAUGGGGGUAAACAGAGAAAGGAAAGAAAAGAUGGAAGUAAAAAGGAAGAAUGAGAAAGUUAAUCAAUGGGGUAAACAGAGAAGGGAAAGAAAAGAAGGAAGUGAAAAGGAAGAAUAAGAAAGUUAAUAGUGAGAAAAUGUGCCAAUGGGGGUAAACAGAAAAAGGGAAGAAAAGAAGGAAGUGAAAAGAAAGAAUGGGAGAGUUAACAGAGUAAGAAAACGUGGUAAUGAAGGCAAACAGUAAAGGGGAAACAAAAGAAUAAAGCGAAGAAAAAGAAUGAGAGAUUUAAGAGUAAGAAAACGUGGUAAUGAAGGAAAACAGUAAAGGGGUAACAAAAGAAGGAAGUGAAGGGAAAGAAUGAAAGAGUUAACAAAGUAAGAAAACUUGGUGAUGAAGGCAAAUAGUAAAGUAAAUGAAAAGAAGAGAGGAAUUUAAAGACAGAAAAAAUGCUAUGAAGAAACCAGUAUAUAAGAUUGUGUAAGUCGUCACAGGAUAUCGAAUUUGCCUGACGUCACCUCCACCAUAUGCUUUACCUAUAAACGCCUGUGAACCUAUAAACGCCUGACUCCUCUCUCGACGUAGGCUAAAGAAACAAGUGUAUAAGAUUGUGUAAGUCAGUCACAGGAUAUUGAAUUUGCCUGACGUCACCUCCACCAUAUGCUUCACCUAUAAACGCCUGACU